GAUGAAGAACGCAGCGAAAUGCGAUAAGUAAUGUGAAUUGCAGAAUUCAGUGAAUCAUCGAAUCUUUGAACGCACAUUGCGCCCGGCAGUAUUCUGCCGGGCAUGCCUGUUCGAGCGUCAUUUCAACCAUCAAGCCCCCGGCUUGUGUUGGGGACCUGCGGCUGCCGCAGGCCCUGAAAACCAGUGGCGGGCUCGCUAGUCACUCCGAGCGUAGUAAUACAUCUCGCUCAGGGCGUGCUGCGGGUUCCGGCCGUUAAAAAGCCUUAUUUACCCAAGGUUGACCUCGGAUCAGGUAGGAAGACCCGCUGAACUUAAGCAUAUCAAUAAGCGGAGGA
rnacentral:misc_RNA from 1 species